rnacentral:rRNA from 1 species
UAAAUUGAGAGUUUGAUCCUGGCUCAGGAUGAACGCUGGCGGCGUGCUUAACACAUGCAAGUCGAGCGAUGAAGUUUCCUUCGGGAAAUGGAUUAGCGGCGGACGGGUGAGUAACACGUGGGUAACCUGCCUCAUAGAGUGGAAUAGCCUUCCGAAAGG